GCUUCUGUAGGAUAUUAGUCUUCCGCCCGGCUUUAGGCGCCGUUAAUCUUGGUGCAAUUCCAAGCAGAAGUU
rnacentral:tRNA from 2 species